rnacentral:rRNA from 1 species
UACGGGGGGGGCAAGCGUUGUUCGGAAUUACUGGGCGUAAAGGGCUCGUAGGCGGCCAACUAAGUCGGACGUGAAAUCCCCAGGCUCAACCUGGGAACUGCGUCCGAUACUGGAUGGCUUGAAUUCGGGAGAGGGAUGCAGAAUUCCAGGUGUAGCGGUGGAAUGCGUAGAGAUCCGGAAGAACACCGGUGGCGAAGGCGGCCUGCUGGGCAGUUGCUGACACUGAGGCGCGACAGCGUGGGGAGCAAACAGG